rnacentral:other from 1 species
AAUUCCAGCGAAAGGCUGAGGGAGCGAGCGGGAGGGCCGCGAAGGUGCAAGAAUCGAGCGAGCAGAACCAGCAGAGCCGCGCUCCGGGCGCCCAGGGCAGGGAGAUCCGGAGCGAAAGGGGGCUUCGCCUCCGGCCCCGCCGCCCCCACCCCAUCCUGCCCGCUGCCCCCACCCGAGGUCCGCAGCCCCGCCGCAGCCGCGAAACUUUGCCCCUUGCCGUGAGCCGGCACUUUGCACUGGAACUUACAAUACCCGGGCGAGGACGCAGACACCCGGCGCGGUGAGGCGAGCCCGCCUGCUAGAGGAGCCACUUUUCCCCGCUGC